GGGGAAUAUUGGACAAUGGGCGCAAGCCUGAUCCAGCCAUGCCGCGUGGGUGAAGAAGGCCUUCGGGUUGUAAAGCCCUUUUGUUGGGAAAGAAAAGCAGUCGGUUAAUACCCGAUUGUUCUGACGGUACCCAAAGAAUAAGCACCGGCUAACUUCGUGCCAGCAGCCGCGGUAAUACGAAGGGUGCAAGCGUUACUCGGAAUUACUGGGCGUAAAGCGUGCGUAGGUGGUUUGUUAAGUCUGAUGUGAAAGCCCUGGGCUCAACCUGGGAAUUGCAUUGGAUACUGGCAGGCUAGAGUGCGGUAGAGGGUAGUGGAAUUCCCGGUGUAGCAGUGAAAUGCGUAGAGAUCGGGAGGAACAUCCGUGGCGAAGGCGACUACCUGGACCAGCACUGACACUGAGGCACGAAAGCGUGGGGAGCAAACAGGAUUAGAUACCCUGGUAGUCCACGCCCUAAACGAUGCGAACUGGAUGUUGGGUUCAAUUAGGAACUCAGUAUCGAAGCUAACGCGUUAAGUUCGCCGCCUGGGGAGUACGGUCGCAAGACUG
rnacentral:rRNA from 1 species